ACGAACGCUGGCGGCGUGCUUAACACAUGCAAGUCGAACGGUGAAGCUCCAGCUUGCUGGAGUGGAUCAGUGGCGAACGGGUGAGUAACACGUGAGCAACCUGCCCCUGACUCUGGAAUAAGCGCUGGAAACGGCGUCUAAUACUGGAUACGAGAAGGGUCCGCAUGGGCACUUUCUGGAAAGUUUUUCGGUUGGGGAUGGGCUCGCGGCCUAUCAGCUUGUUGGUGAGGUAAUGGCUCACCAAGGCGACGACGGGUAGCCGGCCUGAGAGGGCGACCGGCCACACUGGGACUGAGACACGGCCCAGACUCCUACGGGAGGCAGCAGUGGGGAAUAUUGCACAAUGGGGGAAAGCCUGAUGCAGCGACGCCGCGUGAGGGAUGACGGCCUUCGGGUUGUAAACCUCUUUCAGCAGGGAAGAAGCGAAAGUGACGGUACCUGCAGAAGAAGCACCGGCUAACUACGUG
rnacentral:rRNA from 1 species